rnacentral:rRNA from 1 species
UACGGGGGGGGCAAGCGUUGUUCGGAAUUACUGGGCGUAAAGGGCUUGUAGGUGGCCAACUAAGUCAGACGUGAAAUCCCUCGGCUUAACCGGGGAACUGCGUCUGAUACUGGAUGGCUUGAGUGUGGGAGAGGGAUGCGGAAUUCCAGGUGUAGCGGUGAAAUGCGUAGAUAUCUGGAGGAACACCGGUGGCGAAGGCGGCAUCCUGGACCGGCAUUGACGCUGAGGCGCGAAAGCUAGGGGAGCAAACGGG